GACGAACGCUGGCGGCGUGCUUAACACAUGCAAGUCGAACGGACAGACGAUGAUUUUGCGGCGUGCUCGAGAGGGGCACGGGUGAGUAACACGUGAGUAAACUGCCCUUGACUUUGGGAUAACUUCACGAAACUGGGGAUAAUACAGGAGAGGAGAUCCUGCUGCAUGGUGGGGGUUGGUAAGUUUCGGCGGUUGGGGAUGGACUAGAGGGUUAUCAGCUUGUUGGUGGGGUAGGGGCUUACAAAGGCUUUGACGGAUAGCCCGCAUGAGCGGUGGACCGGCCUCAAUAGUACUGCGAGACGCCGCAGACGGCAACGUGAGGCAGCGGGGGGGAACCUUGCACAACGGGCGGAAGCCUGAUGCAGAGAUCCCCCGAGCGUGAAGAUGGCCUUCGGGUGGUAAACCGCUGUCGCAGUUGACAAAGCGGGAUUGACGGUAACUGGUAAAGAAGCACCGGCUAACUACGUG
rnacentral:rRNA from 1 species